GGAACCCGUACCGUAAACCGACACAGGUGGGUGGGUAGAAUAUACUAAGGCGCAAGAGUGAAACCCUGUUAAGGAACUCGGCAAUCUAGCCCCGUAACUUCGGGAGAAGGGGUCCCGGGACUCGUCCCGGGCGCAGUGAAAGGGCCCAUCCGACUGUUUAGCAAAAACACAGCAUUCUGCGAACACGCAAGUGGAAGUAUAGGAUGUGACACGUGACCAAUGCCAAAAGAUUAAGGGGAGGUGUUAGCCUUCGGGCGAAGCUCUGAUCCUAAGUCCUGGUGAAUGUCGGCCGUAACNAUAACGGUCCUAAGGUAGCGAAAUUCCUUGUCGGGUAAGUUCCGACCUGCACGAAUCGUGCAACGAGAUGGGCGCUGUCUCAACAGGGAGCUCAGUGAAAUUGUAUCCGCGGUGAAGAUGCCGCGUACCCGCAGAAGGACGGAAAGACCCUAUAGACCUUAACUGUAAGCUGUCACUGGUUUCUCGAUUUUAAUGCUCAGCAUAAGUGGGAGGCUUUGAACCAUUCCUCUAGGGGAGUGGGGAGCCAUCAGUGAGAUACCACCCUUUAGCAUUGGGGAAUCUAACCUCUAGCCUUUAUCAGGCAGAGGGACCAUGGCAGCCGGUCAGUUUGACUGGGGCGGUCUCCUCCUAAAGAGUAACGGAGGAGCGCGAAGGUAGGCUCAGCGCGGUUGGCAAUCGCGUUUCGAGUGCAUUGGCAUAAGCCUGCCUAACUGCGAGACUUACAAGUCGAGCAGAGACGAAAGUCGGCCAAAGUGAUCCGGCGGUGGAAUAUGGAAUCGCCGUCGCUCAUCGGACAAAAGGUACCUUAGGGAUAACAGGCUGAUCGCGCCCAAGAGUUCAUAUCGACGGCGCGGUUUGGCACCUCGAUGUCGGCUCGUCACAUCCUGGGGCUGGAGAAGGUCCCAAGGGUUCGGCUGUUCGCCGAUUAAAGUGGCACGCGAGCUGGGUUCAGAACGUCGCGAGACAGUUCGGUCCUCUAUCCUCUGUGGGCGUAGGAAAAUUGAGGGGUUCAAACUCUAGUACGAGAGGACCGAGUUUGACGAGCCUCUGGUGCUCCGGUUGUCGCGUCAGCGGCAUAGCCGGGUAGCUAAGCUCGGAACAGAUAAGCGCUGAAAGCAUCUAAGCGCCAAGCUAUUCCCAAGAUAAAUUUUCCCUGAAGGAUCGUGGAAGACUACCACGUUGAUAGGCUGCUUGUGUAAUGAUGGUUAACAUUUUUAGCUUAGCAGUAC
rnacentral:rRNA from 1 species